CCUACGGGAGACAGCAGUGGGGAAUAUUGCACAAUGGGCGCAAGCCUGAUGCAGCAACGCCGCGUGAGUGAAGAAGUAUUUCGGUAUGUAAAGCUCUAUCAGCGGGGAAGAAGAAACGCGGUACCUGCCUAAGAAGCCCCGGCGAACUACGUGCCAGCAGCCGCGGUAAUACGUAGGGGGCAAGCGUUAUCCGGAUUUACUGGGUGUAAGGGGAGCGUAGACGGGUGUGCAAGUCUGAAGUGAAAGCCCGUGGCUAAACCGCGGAACUGCUUUGGAAACUGUAUAGCUUGAGUACUGGAGAGGCAGGCGGAAGUCCGAGUGUAGCGGUGAAAUGCGUAGAUAUUAGGAGGAACACCAGUGGCGAAGGUGGCCUGCUGGACAGAAACUGACGUUGAGGCUCGAAAGCGUGGGGAGCAAACAGGAUUAGAUACCCCUGUAGUC
rnacentral:rRNA from 1 species